AUUGAACGCUGGCGGCAGGCCUAACACAUGCAAGUCGAGCGGGGUUUUCGGACCUAGCGGCGGACGGGUGAGUAAUGCGUAGGAAGCUACCCGAUAGAGGGGAUACCAGUUGGAAACGACUGUUAAUACCGCAUAAUGUCUACGGACCAAAGUGUGGGACCUUCGGGCCACAUGCUAUCGGAUGCGCCUACGUGGGAUUAGCUAGUUGGUGAGGUAAUGGCUCACCAAGGCGACGAUCUCUAGCUGGUUUGAGAGGAUGAUCAGCCACACUGGAACUGAGACACGGUCCAGACUCCUACGGGAGGCAGCAGUGGGGAAUAUUGGACAAUGGGCGCAAGCCUGAUCCAGCCAUGCCGUGUGUGUGAAGAAGGCCUUAGGUUGUAAAGCACUUUCAGCGAGGAGGAAGGGGUUGUAGUUAAUAGCUGCAAUCUUUGACGUUACUCGCAGAAGAAGACACCGG
rnacentral:rRNA from 1 species